rnacentral:rRNA from 1 species
AUUGAACGCUGGCGGCAGGCUUAACACAUGCAAGUCGAACGAGUGGCGGACGGGUGAGUAAUGUCUGGGAAACUGCCCGAUGGAGGGGGAUAACUACUGGAAACGGUAGCUAAUACCGCAUACCAGCGGAUGUGCCCAGAGGGGAUUGGCUAGUAGGUGGGGUAACGGCUCACCUAGGCGACGAUCACUAGCUGGUCUGAGAGGAUGACCAGCCACACUCGACAUGAGACACGGUCCAGACUCCUACGGGAGGCAGCAGGGGGGAAUAUUGCACAAUGGGCGCAAGCCUGAUGCAGCCAUGCCGCGUGUAUGAAGAAGGCCUUCGGGUUGUAAAGUACUUUCAGCGAGGAGGCGUUACUCGCAGAAGAAGCACCGGCUAACUCCGUGCCAGCAGCCGCGGUAAUAC